rfam:Halogranum salarium B-1 162.HSB1.1_16, whole genome shotgun sequence.
GUAGAAUGGCUACUGUGCCAGCUGGUGGAUAGCUCGGCUCGAGAGCCGAUGAAGGACGUGCCAAGCUGCGAAAAGCACCGGGGAGUCGCAUGGAGACUAAGAACCGGUGAUCUCCGAAUAGGAAUCCUCAUAGCAAUUGCUUUGCGCAAUGGGGAACGUCGAGAAUUGAAACAUCUUAGUAUCGACAGGAAAAGAAAGCAAACGCGAUGUCGUUAGUAACGGCGAGUAAACGCGACACAGUCCAAACCGAAUCCGCAAGGAAAUGUGGUGUUCGGACUGACACUCACUCUCCGACCCUCUAACUGAAAUCUCUUGGAACAGAGUAUGAAACAGGGUGACAAUCCCGUAAGUUAGAGCAGUACGAGACGCGUCAGCUCCAGAGUAGCGGGGGUUGGAUAUCCCUCGUGAACCUCGCGGGCAUCGACCGCGAAGACUAAACACUACUCGAGACCGAUAGCGAACAAGUAGCGUGAGCGAACGCUGAAAAGCACCCCGAGAAGGGCGGUGCAAUAGGGCUUGAAAUCAGUUGGCGAUAGAGCGACGAGGCAUACAAGGCCUCUCAAAAAACGAACCCAGGGCGACCUGACAGUAGGAAUUGAGAGGAGCCGGUGUCCCGUCGUACGUUUUGAAAAACGAACCAGGGAGUGUGUUUGGUUGGCGAGUCUAACAUGAGUAUCAUGGAAGGCGCAGGGAAACCGAUACGGCCGCAGCACUAUGUGUGAGGGCCACCGUGUUCAAGCGCGGGGAGUCAACCGUACACGACCCGAAACCGAGUGAUCUACACGAGGGCAAGGUGAAGCGUACCGAAAGGCACGUGGAGGCCUGUUAGAGUUGGUGUCCUACAAUACCCUCUCGUGACCUUCGUGUAGGGGUGAAAGGCCCAUCGAACUCGGCAACAGCUGGUUCCGACCGAAACAUGUCGAAGCAUGACCUUCGCCGAGGUAGUUCGUGAGGUAGAGCGACCGAUUGGGAGACCCGCCUCCGAGAGGAGUCGGCCUCCCUGUCGAACUCCGAACUUACGAACGCCGUGGACGCGAGGAAUCCGGUACUCCGGGGUAAGCUUGGGUACCGUGAAGGAGACAACCUAGAGUCUGGUUAAGGACCCCAAAUGUGGAUUAAGUGCGAUUGAAGGUGGUCUCGAGCCCUAAACAGCCGGGAGGUGAGCUUAGAAGCAGCUACCCUCUAAGAAAAGCGUAACAGCUUACCGGCCGAGGUUCGAGGCGCCGAAAAUGAUCGGGGCUCAAAUCCACUUCCGAGACCUGACCGUACCCGUCAUAGGGUAAUCGAGUAGGUCGGCAUUCUGCGCGGGUGGAAGCAUGGGCGAGAGUUCAUGUGGACCACGCAGUAACGAAAAUCCUGGUCACAGUAGCAGCGAAAGUCGGGUGAGUAACCCCGACGGCCUGAAGAGUAAGGGUUCCUCGGCACUGCCAAUCAGCCGAGGGUUAGUCGAUCCUAAGUCCUAUCGUAAUUCGAGUAGGACAAAAGGGUAACUGGUUAAUAUUCCAGUACUAUCACCACUCAAAGUCAACACUUUGGGAAACACCGAACCGGGCAUUCGCCCGGUCAAACCGGAGAAAUUCGUGGAAGCCGUAAUGGCACGAAGCGAACGAAUUCCGGGACAGCGCAAGUCGGUGGUACCUAGAGUCCGUGAAAAGACGAGCGUGAUACUCGUACCGAGAUCCGACACAGGUACUCUGGCAGAGCAAGCCAAGGCCCGUCGGGACCAACCGACGUUAGGGAAUUCGGCAAAUUAGUCCCGUAAGUUCGCGAGAAGGGAUGCCUGCCCCGUAUAAGGGCAGGUCGCAGUGACUCGGGCGCUCCGACUGUCUAGUAACAACAUAGGUGACCGCAAAUCCGUAAGGACUCGUACGGUCACUGAAUCCUGCCCAGUGCGGGUAUCUGAACACCUAGUACAAUAGGACGAAGGACCCGUCAACGGCGGGGGUAACUAUGACCCUCUUAAGGUAGCGUAGUACCUUGCCGCUUCAGUAGCGGCUUGCAUGAAUGGAUCAACGAGAGCGCCACUGUCCCAACGUUGGGCCCGGUGAACUGUACGUUCCAGUGCGGAGUCUGGAGACCCCCAAGGGGAAGCGAAGACCCUAUAGAGCUUUACUGCAGGCUGUCGCUGAGACGUGGUCGCUAAUGUGCAGCAUAGGUAGGAGCCGCUACACAGGUACCCGCGCUAGCGGGCCACCGAGGCAUCAGUGAAAUACUACCCGUUAGUGACUGCGACUCUCACUCCUGGCGGAGGACACCGGUAGCCGGGCAGUUUGACUGGGGCGGUACGCGCUCGAAAAGAUAUCGAGCGCGCCCCAAGGUUUCCUCACUCGGGUCGGAAACCCGAGGAAGAGCGCAAGAGCAAACGGAAGCCUGACAGUGUCCUGCCUAACGAGGGACGCUGACACGAAAGUGUGGUCUAGCGAACCUACGAGCCUGCUUGAUGCGGGCCGUAGAUGACAGAAAAGCUACCUUAGGGAUAACAGAGUCGUCACCGGCAAGAGCACAUAUCGACCCGGUGGCUUGCUACCUCGAUGUCGGUUCCCUCCAUCCUGCCUGUGCAGAAGCAGGCAAGGGUGAGGUUGUUCGCCUAUUAAAGGAGGUCGUGAGCUGGGUUUAGACCGUCGUGAGACAGGUCGGCUGCUAUCUAUUGGGGGUGUUAAGGUACUUGACGUGAACGAACGUAUAGUACGAGAGGAACUACGUUUGGGUGCCACUGGUGUACCGGUUGUCCGAAAGGGCAGAUGCCGGGAAGCUACGCACCACGGGGUAAGAGCUGAACGCAUCUAAGCUCGAAACCCACAUGAAAAAGAAGUACCACCGAGGACACUCGUAGAAGACGAGUUCGAUAGACUCGGGGUGUACGCGCCGAGGCAACGAGGCGUUUAGCCCACGAGCACUAACAGUCCAAGCCACAUUCAUA